CCUACGGGUGGCAGCAGUCGAGAAUCAUUCACAAUGGGGGAAACCCUGAUGGUGCGACGCCGCGUGGGGGAAUGAAGGUCUUCGGAUUGUAAACCCCUGUCAUGUGGGAGCAAAUUAAAAAGAUAGUACCACAAGAGGAAGAGACGGAUAACUCUGUGCCAGCAGCCGCGGUAAUACAGAGGUCUCAAGCGGUGUUCGGAAUCACUGGGCGUAAAGCGUGCGUAGGCUGUUUCGUAAGUCGUGUGUGAAAGGCGCGGGCUCAACCCGCGGACGGCACAUGAUACUGCGAGACUAGAGUACUGGAGGGGGAACCGGAAUUCUCGGUGUAGCAGUGAAAUGCGUAGAUAUCGAGAGGAACACUCGUGGCGAAGGCGGGUUCCUGGACAUUAACUGACGCUGAGGCACGAAGGCCAGGGGAGCGAAAGGGAUUAGAUACCCCAGUAGUC
rnacentral:rRNA from 1 species